UUAAAGUACAAAAAAUCCAGCUAACAUACGCCCCUCUUCUUCUUCUUCUCCCCUUCAACUCAAACUCAACUCAAUUCAACACAGAACAAAGUGAAACCCCACACUAACAUGCGCCAUCAGCUCCUCUCCUCGCCAAUCGCAAUGUCUUCUUCUUCAAGCAAAAGCCUCAAUUUGAAAAAAAACCGGUCAAACCCUAACCCUAACCCUCCCUGCCACCACUCCGCCUCCGCCACUCUCGACCUCCUCAUCCUCCUCCUCGUCCUCUUCGCCGGCACUUUCCUCGUCUCCUCCUACUUCUCCUACACUCUCCACUCUCUCUCUCUCGUUCUCCCCUCUCUCGACUACGUCUCUCUCUGUUUCUCCGCGUUUCUCGUUUUCCUCUUCUUCGCUUCUGCCUACUGUACGUUCCGUCUGUGCUAUUUCUCCAGGAAGUGCGGGAAUGCCGGGUGCAAGGGGCUGCGGAGAGCGAUGGAGUUUGAUUUGAGGCUGCAGAGUGAGGAGUGCUUGAGGCUCGGGGGAAAGGCGGUGGUGGAAGUGGAUGAGUUGCCAUGGAAGGGGGGCGGGGAGGGGAACAGGGAUUAUGAGUGUUUGAGGAAUGAGUUGAGGAGGAUGGCCCCGGUUAAUGGACGCGCGGUGCUCGUGUUUCAGAAGAAGUGUGGCUGUCCGUUUGCAAAGCUGGAGGGGUGGUGUGUGAAACGCGGGCGGAAGAACAAGAAGUGAGUUUGUUCUAUGGAAUUGAGGUUCAAUUGAAUUGGUAUUUGUGGUUUGUUAGUGUUGAUCAUUUUGUGAUUUAGCUCUGGCUUUGAAAGGUGGAGGAGAUUACCGCCAUUGAUUACAUCCUGGCCUGUGCCAAGAAAUCCAAUGGCCGUGUUAAAGUUCAGAUUCCCUGUGGCGUUUUCAAACUCAGUUAAGAUUACAUGAUUUGUACAUUUUCUUUUUCUGGAGGGUGUACCAAAUUUAAUGAGAAAUAAAGUUUAUGUGAAUUUAAAAUAACAUUUUCGAACUUCAGUUUGUUGAAUGUGCAAUAGCUUUUUCUGUA